rnacentral:lncRNA from 1 species
AUGAAGCAGUACCACCCACCAGCUAAAUACAAAGAGCUGGAUUUGGGUUUAAAAUAUAGAAGCAAAAGAAGAGACCUAUUUGGAAGCCGGCAUGGACAAUCUGAUAGAGAAAAAAAAAGUAAGAAAAUGCAUUUUUCUCUAACUAAAUCCCAUAGUAACAUUUGUUUGGCUCUGAUUUAUAGCUUGACUUAUUGACAUGCACAUUCUAGGGACAUACUGAAGCCCACAGUUCUCAGGAGAGCUUUAGAGAAAUUCUUGUUUUCUUCUGGUUCCAGUGAGUCCUUGUCCCUUGUAGGUGGUUUUGCACUGGCUUGGCAAAGCCAAGAAGAAGAAGAAAAAAAACAACAAAAACAAUGAUCCCAAACAGAUGUGACUCUCUCCUGUUUUUAGCAAUGCAUGGAAAAGGGAAUUUGACAAACAUGCCUUUGAUAGGAUUGAGCAAUGCCCUGUCAUAAGCUUUUUCUUUGUGUGUCCUCUAAAUUCCUUUUUCUGAAGUUUGAGCUCAUUGCUUCAUGCCUUGGCCCUGAUGAUUGGUGAUGGAGGAGAAUGAAGUGGUUUCUUGGACCAUCAUAAGCUGCUUGGGCACACAACUUUUAGGACACAAUCCCUAUUUAUGGGGCCAAGACCUUUAGCCAUUUUCUGACGACCUCUGAGAAUGUUAAAUGUGAGGGGACAUUAUAAAGAUAUUAUUAUUAAGAUUAUUAGAGAUUAUCAAGUCCAGUUCCCCCAUUUUAUCAUUGAGGAAACUGAGUCUACUUCUUAAUUAUAUUAAGAGGUUUUUCCUGGAAUCACAUAGCAAAUUCAUAGCAGAACCAAGGUUAGGAACCAGGUCUUGAACAUUCUUUCACUUCUCCAUCUUAACCACAUGUGAAGGCUUUGGUUUCCUCCAUUAGCAUGGAUAAUUGAAAGUUGAUCUUCCUUUAAUUUCCCUGUCAUGGUACAAUAGUGACAAUAUUCUAUCUAGAAAAAGAAGAUCCAAAUUCAAUACCAGCUCCAGUGUUAACCAAGUAUCUUUAGGGAAACUGUUUCCUCAUUAGUAAGAUUAUGUUAGGCUAGAUGUCCUUCAGAAUUAUAUCUUUUUUUCUUCUUAAUCUUGCAAAAACACUUCUAUAUUGGUCAUUGUUGUAAAAACACAUCCAUACAAAACCAAAAUCCCAAAAUAAAACCAUAAAUGCACUGAUAUGAAAUAUAGUA